GCUAGUGUGGUGUAGUGGUUUGAGUGCUGGACUAGAAAUCUGGAAAACAGGGUUCAAAUUCCUACUUAGUCA